UUCGCAAUGCCCGAAAGGGUGACGAAGCGACGCCGCGUGCGGGAAGAAGGCCUCCGGGUUGUAAACCGCUGUCGGGAGUUAAGAAAUGUAAGGAUGUCAAUAGCAUCUUUGCUUGACUAAGGCUCCGGAGGAAGCCACGGCUAACUCUGUGCCAGCAGCCGCGGUAAUACAGAGGCGGCAAGCGUUGUUCGGAAUUAUUGGGCGUAAAGAGCACGUAGGCGGCUAUGUAAGUCGGUUGUGAAAGCCUUCCGCUCAACGGGAGAACAGCAUCCGAUACUGCAUGGCUUGAGUGCGGGAGGGGAGAGUGGAACUUCUGGUGGAGCGGUGAAAUGCGUAGAUAUCAGAAGGAACGCCGGCGGCGAAAGCGGCUCUCUGGCCCAUAACUGACGCUGAGUGUGCGAAAGCUAGGGGAGCAAACGGGAUUAGAUACCCCGGUAGUCCUAGCCGUAAACGAUGGGCACUAAGUAGAGGGGUUU
rnacentral:rRNA from 1 species